rnacentral:tRNA from 1 species
AGAAAGUAAUGCAAGAACUGCUAACUCANUGCUUCCGCGCCUACACUCGUGGCUUUCUC